rnacentral:rRNA from 1 species
GUGAGUAGUUCAGAGUUUGAUCCUGGCUCAGGAUGAACGCUGGCGGCGUAGCUUAACACAUUCAAGUCGAACGGACGAUGAGGAGCUUGCUCCUCUGAGUUAGUGGCGGACGGGUGAGUAACGCGUAAGCAACCUGCCUUUCGAAGCGGGACAACAGCUGGAAACGGCUGCUAAUACCGCAUAACGUAAUCGUUUCGCAUGUGAUGAUUACCAAAGUAGCAAUACGAUGAAAGAUGGGCUCGCGUCUGAUUAGAUAGUUGGUGAGGUAACGGCUCACCAAGUCGACGAUCAGUAGCCGGACUGAGAGGUUGAACGGCCACAUUGGAACUGAGAAACGGUCCAG